GGGUCAGUAGGUUGGUCGUGCCACCGGUACGUACUGGACUCACUGACUCCUCCUUCCUGAAGAACCGUAAUGCCAUUAAUUUGGUGUUGCGGGGAAACAGGACUGUUACUUUGGAAAAAUUAGAGUGUUUAAAGCAAGCUAACGCUUGAAUACAUUAGCAUGGAAUAAUGAAAUAGGACGAUCGAUCCUAUUUUGUUGGUUUCUAGGAUUGACGUA
rnacentral:rRNA from 1 species